rnacentral:rRNA from 1 species
ACUCUUAUGAGGCCCCGUAAUUGGAAUGAGAACAAUCUAAAUCCUUUAACGAGGAUCUAUUGGAGGGCAAGUCUGGUGCCAGCAGCCGCGGUAAUUCCAGCUCCAAUAGCGUAUAUUAAAGUUGUUGUGGUUAAAAAGCUCGUAGUUGGAUCUCAGUUCGAGUCAGGCGGUCCACUUGCCAGUGGCUACUGCCUGACUGAACACUUUACCGAGUUGUCCUAUGGUGUUCUUCACCGAGCGUCAUAGGCGAUCGGUACGUUUACUUUGAAAAAAUUAGAGUGCUCAAAGCAGGCGUAACGCCCGAAUAAUGUUGCAUGGAAUAAUGGAAUAGGACCUCGGUUCUAUUUUGUUGGUCUUCGGAAUCAGAGGUAAUGAUCAAUAGGGACAGACGGGGACAUUCGUAUUGCGGCGCUAGAGGUGAAAUUCUUGGACCGUCGCAAGACGAACUAAAGCGAAAGCAUUUGUCAAGAAUGUUUUCAUUAAUCAAGAACGAAAGUUAGAGGUUCGAAGGCGAUCAGAUACCGCCCUAGUUCUAACCAUAAACGAUGCCAACCAGUAAUUCGUCUGAGUUCCUUAAAUGACUCGACGAGGGACUUCCGGGAAACCAAAGUCUUUCGGUUCCAGGGGAAGUAUGGUUGCAAAGCUGAAACUUAAAGAAAUUGACGGAAGGGCACCACCAGGAGUGGAGCCUGCGGCUUAAUUUGACCCAACACGGGAAAACUCACCCGGCCCGGACACUGGAAGGAUUGACAGAUUGAGAGCUCUUUCUUGAUUCAGUGGGUGGUGGUGCAUGGCCGUUCUUAGUUGGUGGAGUGAUUUGUCUGGUUAAUUCCGAUAACGAACGAGACUCUAGCCUACUAAAUAGAUCGUCGGCUUACAAACGCCGGCGAGACUUCUUAGAGGGACAGGCGGUGAUUCAACCGCACGAAACAGAGCAAUAACAGGUCUGUGAUGCCCUUAGAUGUCCGGGGCCGCACGCGCGCUACACUGAAGUGAUCAGCGUGCUUUUUCAACCUACUCUGUCAAGAGUGGGGAACCCAAUGAACCUUCUUCGUGAUUGGGAUAGGGGAUUGUAAUUAUUCCCCUUGAACGAGGAAUUCCCAGUAAGCGCGAGUCAUAAGCUCGCGUUGAUUACGUCCCUGCCCUUUGUACACACCGCCCGUCGCUACUACCGAUUGAAUGUUUUAGUGAGGUCUUCGGACUGGCCGGCGCAGCACUCUCGUAGUGCAGCGCUGUGUUUGGAAAGAUGCCCAAACUUGAACAUUUAGAGGAAGUAAAAGU